UAGGAUGUACUGAGACAAAUAUACUAAGGUA
rnacentral:piRNA from 1 species